rnacentral:rRNA from 1 species
AUUGAACGCUGGCGGCAUGCCUUACACAUGCGAGUCGAACGGCAGCACGGGGCAACCUGGUGGCGAGUGGCGAACGGGUGAGUAAUGCAUCGGAACGUACCUUUCAGUGGGGGAUAACGUAGCGAAAGUUACGCUAAUACCGCAUAUUCUGUGAGCAGGAAAGCAGGGGAUCGCAAGACCUUGCGCUGAUUGAGCGGCCGAUGUCAGAUUAGCUAGUUGGUGAGGUAAAGGCUCACCAAGGCGACGAUCUGUAGCGGGUCUGAGAGGAUGAUCCGCCACACUGGAACUGAGACACGGUCCAGACUCCUACGGGAGGCAGCAGUGGGGAAUUUUGGACAAUGGGGGCAACCCUGAUCCAGCCAUGCCGCGUGAGUGAAGAAGGCCUUCGGGUUGUAAAGCUCUUUCGGCCGGGAAGAAAUCGCACGGGCUAAUACCCUGUGUGGUUGACGGUACCGGAAUAAGAAGCACCGGCUAACUACGUGCCAGCCGCCGCGGUAAGAC